rnacentral:rRNA from 1 species
GCAUGCCUACGGGGCGCAGCAGUAGGGAAUUUUCGUCAAUGGGCGCAAGCCUGAACGAGCGAUGCCGCGUGAACGAGGAAGGUCUUCGGAUCGUAAAGUUCUGUUGAAGGGGAAAAAGAGCGGAGAGAGGAAAUGAACUCCGAUUGAUAUUACCCUUCGAGGAAGUCACGGCUAACUACGUGCCAGCAGCCACGGUAAUACGUAGGUGGCGAGCGUUAUCCGGAAUGGUUGGGCGUAAAGGGUGCGUAGGCGGCCUGCUAAGUCUGGAGUGAAAGGUACCGGCUCAACCGGUACAGGCUCUGGAA